UACGGAGGGGGCUAGCGUUGUUCGGAAUUACUGGGCGUAAAGCGCACGUAGGCGGCUUUGUAAGUUAGAGGUGAAAGCCCGGGGCUCAACUCCGGAAUUGCCUUUAAGACUGCAUCGCUCGAAUUGUGGAGAGGUAAGUGGAAUUCCGAGUGUAGAGGUGAAAUUCGUAGAUAUUCGGAAGAACACCAGUGGCGAAGGCGACUCACUGGACCGUUGUUGACGCUGAGGUGCGAAAGCGUGGGGAGCAAACAGG
rnacentral:rRNA from 1 species